rnacentral:rRNA from 1 species
GCGCACCAGGCGAGAAUCUUCCGCAAUGGACGAAAGUCUGACGGGGCGAUACAGCGUGGUGGAUGAAGUACUUCGGUACGUAAACACCUUUUAUGUGGGACGAAAUAAUUGACGGUACCACAUGAAUAAGGGGCUCCUAACUCUGUGCCAGCAGGAGCGGUAAUACAGAGGCCCCGAGCGUUAUCCGGAAUCAUUGGGCGUAAAGGGUGUCGAGGCGGUCAUGUUAGUCGUGUGUAAAAUCCGGAGGCUCAACCUCCGGCCCGCACACGAAACGGCAUGACUCGAGGUUGGAAGAGGUGCGUGGAACUCACGGUGUAGGGGUGAAAUCCGUUGAUAUCGUGGGGAACACCAAAGGCGAAGGCAGCGCACUGGUCCAAAUCUGACGCUCACACACGAAAGCCGGGGUAGCGAAUGGGAUUAGAUACCCGCGUAGU